UACAGAGGUCUCAAGCGUUGUUCGGAUUCACUGGGCGUAAAGGGUGCGUAGGCGGCGCGGUAAGUCGGGUGUGAAAUCUCGGGGCUUAACUCCGAAACUGCAUUCGAUACUGCCGUGCUUGAGGACUGGAGAGGAGACUGGAAUUUACGGUGUAGCGGUGAAAUGCGUAGAUAUCGUAAGGAAGACCAGUGGCGAAGGCGGGUCUCUGGACAGUUCCUGACGCUGAGGCACGAAGGCCAGGGGAGCAAACGGG
rnacentral:rRNA from 1 species